AAGGUCCCCUACCGGCAUUCAUUGGCAAUAUGUCUGCAUUGAUUAUAUUGUCAAUUGGCCACAAUUCAUUCUCUGGGCCCAUCCCCAAGGAGCUUGGAAAUCUUACGGAACUAAAUAUGCUGGCCAUCGGAUCAAAUAAUUUCUCCGGAACACUCCCUCCAGAACUUGGUAAUUUAGUCAAGCUCCAGCAA